rnacentral:rRNA from 1 species
CCCAGACUCCUACGGGAGGCAGCAGUGGGGAAUAUUGCACAAUGGGGGAAACCCUGAUGCAGCGACGCCGCGUGAGUGAAGAAGUAAUUCGUUAUGUAAAGCUCUAUCAGCAGGGAAGAAAAUGACGGUACCUGAGUAAGAAGCCCCGGCUAACUACGUGCCAGCAGCCGCGGUAAUACGUAGGGGGCAAGCGUUAUCCGGAUUUACUGGGUGUAAAGGGAGCGUAGACGGCGAUGCAAGUCUGAAGUGAAAGGCGGGGGCCCAACCUCCGGACUGCUUUGGAAACUGUAUGGCUGGAGUGCAGGAGAGGUAAGUGGAAUUCCUAGUGUAGCGGUGAAAUGCGUAGAUAUUAGGAGGAACACCAGUGGCGAAGGCGGCCUACUGGACGGUGACUGACGCUGAGGCUCGAAAGCGUGGGGAGCAAACAGGAUUAGAUACCCCAGUAC